UCCUGGUGAUUAAUCAGGCUCAGCUCCUUUUCAUAUACUUUAUGGCCAGUUGAGUAUCAUCUUCUGCAAAGUGAGGUUAGGAACUGAGCUGACCUCUUCUCAUUUAAUUUUUCAUCCCCCAAAACAUCUGGGUUUCUGACUUUGGAGAGAAGACUGGGGCCAAGAGAGUUUGAAUCAUUUUUCUCUAGUAAGAGGCUAGGGAACCAGUAUUUCAAUCCAGGUCCCCCUGAAUCCUAGAAUACUAUAUAGUCUUUUGUUAUUCACCCUGUAUGCAUUGAGUAGAACAGAGACACAGAAAGGACAGGUCAUGAGGAAGGUCCUCCAAGGAGGCCAAAAGGACCAGUCAAGGUGUGGUAGUUCAUCCUCACAUAUAUUAAGUGGAAGAAAGGACUUGUUCUCCCAAGGCAUGGGAGGCAAAUCUGGGGGACAGGCAAGAACUCAUGGCAUCUCAUUCCUUUGCCAUCAACAUUUGUUGAACAACGUUCAAAGUUCUGAAGGUCCAGAAUACCCCAUGGCUGAGCCCCUUUAUAUACAACUAGAGAAAAGAGUUGUCUCUUCUCAGCUGGUGGGGGUGUAACCAGUACAUCCUCCUGUAGGGCAAUGUGUGUCCCAAGACCUAAGAAUAAUCACCAUUUUUGACCUAAGCAUGCCACUUCUGGGAAGUUAUCUCCAAGACAUAAGAAGAUAAGUGAACAGAAUUUAACCAGAAUGAUGUUUAUCCCAGUAUUGUUUAUAAUUGUGAAACAAUUUAAAUUUAAGCAGUUUAGCAGAAAUAACAUAACUACUCUAUCAUGGGAGGACUACUUAAGAAAAUUAUGAAAUAGCCAUAAAAAUGUAACUGUAUGUAUGAGAAAUAGUGUUGCAAUCAGCCAUCAGGGAAUUGCAAAACCACACUGCACCACCACCACACACCCACCAGAACAGACAACAUGAACAAGUGUUGAUGAGGAUGUGGAGCGACCGGAACUCUUAUACAUUGUUGGCAGGAGUAUAAAUCAGUACAACCCUCUGGGAAACUGGCAGUCUCUACUAAAGCUGAACAUAUACAUAUACUAUGACUCAGCCCCAACAUUCCUAGUGUGCACCUGUGCUUCAAGACACAACCACUAGAAUGUUGCUAGAAGCACUACUGGAACACCCCCAAACUGAAAACUAACCAAAUGACCACUAAGAGUAGAAUGGGUGAAUAAAACUGUGGUAUAGUCACACAAUAGAAUACCAAACAGUGAUGACAGUGAACAACCUACAACUACACACAAUAAAUGGGAUGAAAAACAUAGAUACAAUAUUAGAUGAAAGAAGACAGACACAAGAGUCGUGCUGUAUGAUUUCAUUUAUAGAAAGUACAAGACCAGACUAAAUUAAUUUGUCCUGUUAGAAGUUAGGACAGUGAAUAUCCUGAGGGGAGGGGCCUCACUAGAUGGAAGGGCACCUGUGGGGGGCUUCUGUGGUCUGAGAAUGCUCUGUUCUCCAAUUCUAGUGUGCUCAACAGUGUGAAAAUCCAUCCAUCUGCUCAUCAAUUUAUCCCUUUUCAUGUGUGCAUUUUUCUAAAUGGAUGUUACACUGCAAUGCAAAUGUUUACUUAAAAUAGUAUUGCAGCUGGUGGGAAUGUACUUGGAACAGCCCAUUUGAAAAGCACUUUGUGUGACUUGUAAAAUUAAAAAAAAACACCAACAACAAAGUAUCCUAUGAUCCAGUAAAUGGUCCUCUUUGAUUUCUACCCUGAGGAAAAGCCCCUACAUAAGGCAAGGAAGCAUGAAGGACGCUCGCUGCAACUUCAUGAAUUGAAAAAGAAAGAAAAUACUACACAGAGCUGUUUGAAAGAGCGGCCCCCGGGAGCCACCCAUGCCUCGGUCUGCCCCGCCUUGGUGCCCUCUCCGCCCACUGGCCCAGCAGAAAACGGAAAUGCGGAUACAGGAGAGACCUGCCAAGAAGGAAGACAAUGUGAAGACUUAGGAAGAAUGCCGUCUAUGAGAUAAGGAAAGCCUGAGGCCACCAGCAGCUAGGAGAGAGUCAUGGAACAGAUUCUCCUCACAGCCUUCAGAGAGAACCACCGUGCUGACACCUAGGUUUUAGAUUUCAGGCCCAGAACUGUGAGACAAUGAAUUUCUGUUAUUUUUAAGCCACCCAGUGCUUCUGUGUUACAGCAGCCCUAGCCAACUAAUACACUCUUCUUUAUGGCAUGAACACUGAUUUCCCACUUAUGUCAAUAUAGGUUUCUUUGAAAGUAACAAA